rnacentral:lncRNA from 1 species
CUUUUUCACAACUUCUCUUUCUCCUUAAGGAUUUUUCAAACAAUUUUCCUCGCUCCUUAUGAAACGUAUGAUGUAAUGUUGUGAGGGUGCAUGAAUGUAUAAAAACAUGAGACCUUUGUUUCGUUCUUUUCUUUUGCUCUCUUUCUUUUUCUUUGUUUUCUUUUUUUUUUUCAAUGUGUUUCUCCCCCUUAUUUGGAAUGUGCCCAUGUUUGGAAUCCGUUGUCAACAUCAUCGUCAAACUCGAUGUACAUUCAAAAGGCAUUCAUUGAAAAUAAUGUGAAGAGGUAGUGAGUCCUCUAAUGAGCAGGAAAAAAAAUGUAACCAUGAGUUCGAACUCCUUUUAACGCUUCUCACAAUCCAUGUUGGCUUGAACCUGGGAAGAUGUGGGAAAUGGGUGUUAAAAUAAAAAGUAGAUGGUUGAAUGAUUAUUUGUGGGCAACAUUAACAUUUGUGUUAGCCUUAUCUAGGGAGAUGCCAUUAAUAUUUAAACAUAGAAACAUGUAGAGCUCACAAGGCUGCCCCAAUUUUGUUGCACACAGUAAAUACCAUUUGAAGAGGUGGAAUGGUUUGAGUAGGAAGGGUUGCCCCAGUUUGAUGAUUCUCUCUUGACAUGACGAUUGAUGGGUAGACUUUACAUUAUAUUUUUUCAUUUUUCAUUUUCGAUGCCUUUUUCUUUUCU